GAGUUUUAGUGAGUUUAGUUUUUAGUUUAGUUUAGUUUUUGUCGCCUCUAGUUGUGUGGGCUUAAUCGAAAUUUUGUCCAGAACUAGAAUGGAUUGGAUUGAUUUGGAAUCGAAACCAUCUCACACAUAACAUAGUACGUCAAUAAUUUCUUAUUAUUCGGAUUGCAAGGACAAAGACUAAAUGGGCGCAUGGUUUCAUAAAUUGAGUGCGGAAGUAACUAACCUUUCAAUCAACGAAACUUACUGAAAAAAGUUCCAGUGAAAAUUGUCAAAUAUUUUCAAGGUUCAAAAUACAACUGAAACAAAGGAAAGUGUAACUAGUAUAUAAAAAGUAACGGUGGCACACGUCAAAGGAUUAAAUCGUUGCAAUUGCAUGAAAAUGCAAGGACAAAUGAAUGUCGAGCACGGCACGUGUUAAAAAUUACGACACUGAGAAAGGUCAAUUAUAUAAUAUUGUCAAAUUUUGAGAAAGAUUAAAGUUCAAGAACGCACGUAAAUACAAAUUUGUUUAUAAUGUGCUGAUGUUCAUGCUUUAAACUCGCAGGUGUAUGGUUUUAUGUCGGCGGUAAUGGGUGUGACGUUUUCUUAUUUGCAUUUAAGUUAGUGUAAAUAUUUGUAUAUUAGUGUCCAUCCCACAGAGCAAACACAAUCAGCUAGCGGCAGGUCAACAAAUGCACAUCGUGAGGUAAACAGAAAGAAAGUGAGGAACGAAAAAGAAGAAAGAAAAGAAAAUAAGUCGGGUUACAAGCAGAAAUUGAAAUAGUGUUGCCACAACAGAAAUGUUAAUAAAUAUAAAACAUUAGAAUAUAAACAUUUGGAAACGAGCUAACUUUGAAAAGAUGACUUCUUCAAACAUAAUUUAUCCGAUAUAUUUAUCUAUAAUAAAAGACGAAAAUCUUGUACGUGUUAAACAUAUUAUUGGAAUGGUAAAAAUUUUAGAUUUAAAGAUAUGAUAUUUCCACUCUUUUACAGUCGACUAGACUGAAAAAAAAUAUAUUUCUGUAAUAAUCUAGCCACAUAAAA